ACGACUUGAAACUUCUGUCAAAGACACGCCAAAAUGGCCAGCCUAGCUCAUAUUGGGAAAACCUACCACGACCCGACUGAUGGGAACUCUAGUCAAUGUCAGCUGGAUCCAUGUUAUCCAAAUUGAACUGGCAAAAUACUCUACACGAGACGCCUCAAUUCUCGGUCCGAUAUCACUAUGCAUCUAGAUGCACUGUGUGAUUCCUUUUUAGUACCUCGUGGAGUAUUGAUAAAAUUGAAUCCGACUUGAUUGGACACUCCUCUGACGUCUUACCUUUUUGACAACGGGAAUCUUAACACCAAUUGAGUGCGUUAGUGUCUUGUGAAAUACGGGGCGCCUAGCUCUCUUCAAGAUUACCAUGCUUGCUGUUAUCUAGCUGACAUCACAGUAUGGAAACCUAACUUUAACCUUAACUAUGGUAAAGUUUUUAUGGAAUUAUUAGUGUUGGAAUAUCUUUGAUGCUGGCCAGCCCGAAUAGUGCACGCCAUAUAAUUGGGGGCCAUAAAGCCUCAGAAAGGAGUGGUUCCAAUAAUAUAUAUAUUUCUCUCGGAUAUAACCUUUGUGUGGCUUUCACUGUCGAUAAGCACAGUGAGAUGGAUAGAAUGAAACCAAUAAAAGAAUGGUGAAAAAAGAAAGG
rnacentral:sRNA from 1 species